GACUCCAUGUGUAAGCAGCUGCUGCAAUCAGCAUUAACUCCAGGCUCGCAGAAAUGGCCGAACACGUCUCUGGGAAGAUUUGCAGUGUGAAAAACAUGCUCCUAAGAAGAGACCUGAAAAUAAGGGUGUGCAGCUGGCGCUGAAACUCACCAAAUCCUAUGCUGUAAUCACCAUGGCUGUUAGCAGAUUAAAUCAUAAAUACUCACACAAGAAUCUACUCUCCAUUAUCAAAGAUGCCACCAAGGGAAGACACUUUACAGAGAUUAUUAGAUCUAGAGAGUAGUCCAACAUUGUUCUGAGUUAAUAAAACAACAGGACAACCGCAGCAGCAGCAAUACUUAGGCUUCACGUGAGAACAGUUUUUAGUCUGUGCCCUAAGCAACACCAGUCAUUCAUUCAUUUGGUA
rnacentral:lncRNA from 1 species